rnacentral:sRNA from 2 species
AUAUAGCCCCGAUGGAAGCGGCAUCCUUUUUUGAGUUACUUCCAUUUAGCUCGAACUGACAAAAAAACAAAAAAGAUACAGCGAACAGCGGGACAACUA